UACGUAGGGUGCAAGCGUUAAUCGGAAUUACUGGGCGUAAAGCGUGCGCAGGCGGUUCUGUAAGUCUGUCGUGAAAUCCCCGGGCUUAACCUGGGAAUUGCGAUGGAGACUGCAAGGCUAGAAUCUGGCAGAGGGGGGUAGAAUUCCACGUGUAGCAGUGAAAUGCGAAGAGAUGUGGAGGAACACCGAUGGCGAAGGCAGCCCCCUGGGUCAAGAUUGACGCUCAUGCACGAAAGCGUGGGGAGCAAACAGG
rnacentral:rRNA from 1 species